rnacentral:lncRNA from 1 species
AAAUGUAUAAUUGAGUCCAAAAUGUAUGACACCCGGUCCCAACAAUAGGAAAGGAGACAUUCUAGAAUGUAGAGAUACAAUUUUCAUUUUCAGCUUAGCUCUUUUAUGAAAUAGCAAAACAUAUCGUUUAUCUAUCUCUCAAGCUAGGUUUUGUUCGAUUCAAUUUCACAAAUAGAUUCGGAUAUACGAAUCUCACAUGGUAUUAAAGUAAUGGAAUAGAUCCAGCUCGUCAUCAGUUAUCGUCCGAUUGUACCAUCCUCCGGAGUUUUGAAGUUUUAUUGUUCCGAGGUUUCUUCUCAGAUGGUGAAAAGUUUGGGGAUUUUUUGUGUUUUCUCUCCUUCAACAGUCCUUUCUCUUUCACUAUUUGACAAAAAUCUGGUAGAAAUUCUUCAUUUUUCAUUUGUAUACUCAAAUUUGAUAAAAGUUAGGUUUUAUUCCCCAAAUUGCUAGAAUUUUGUGGAAAUUUGUUGUACUGGUUACAGUUUAUUCUCGUAUCUGUGAAUUCUCGUGUGUUUCAACAUGAGUACCAAUAGUUCUGUGAACUCCGAGGGAUUCGUCGAAUUUACAGUGGAUCCCUCCUACCCUUUUUAUUUAUACACAUCUUACAGCCCUGGUAGUCAAUUAGUGGCCAUUCUUUUCAAUGGUACUGGUUUCGUUCACUGGCGCAGUAGUAUGUUGACCUCUCUCCCCGCUAAGAAUAAAUUGGGAUUAAUCACGAGUAGAAUAGCCCAACCACAAACUGAUUCUCCUUAUUAUCCUUUCUGGGAGCGUUGCAAUGAUAUGGUCAAGGCUUGGAUUAUCAACUCCUUAACCAGAGAACUUGCAAUUAGCGUUAUGUGUUUUCAUACUGCCAAAGAAGUUUGGCAGGACAUUAAUGAUAGGUAUGGUCAAUCAAACAGGUCCAAGUAUAUACAAUUUCAAAGAAAAAUUAGUGCAUCUUCUUAGGGUGCUUCUGAUAUAGCUAGUUAUUUCACCAAAACGAGAAGCUAAUGGGAUGAACUCACAUCUGCCUAUGUUGGACCAACUUGUUCUUGUGGUGCACUUCCAAAAUUCAUAGAAGAUCAAUAGUUGUUUCAGUUUAUCAGUAGGUUGAAUAAUUCAUACACUACUGUCAAGAGUAGUAUUUUAUUGAUGAGCCCCCUUCCCUCCAUUAAUAAGGCAUAUUCCCUCCUACAACAAGAUGAAAGUCACAAGGAAGUAAAAUAUACACCUUCUGGGUUUUCUGGUGAUUCCGUAGCAUCUUUCUCCGUUUCUUCUUGCAUCCCUCAACCCACCAACAAAUUCUACAACCAACAGUUUUGACUCUAAGCGACAAUCUUCUUUUGUAUAUUGCAAGUACUGCAAGAAGCGUGGGCCUUAUGUGGACAAGUGCUACAGACUACAUGGUUACAGCUGAAUUUAAGUUCACUAAGAAUAAACGAGUUGCUGCAUAUGCCCUAGUCGAGGAACCUACUGCUGGCAUACUUUCUAGUCCUACAAAUUCUUUUGAUUCUCCAGCUUUUGGCCUCAGCAAGGAGCAAUAUCAACAGCUUGUGACACUUCUUCAACAAGCACAAGUUUCACCCAACUGUAUUCAAUCUUCCUCUUCUGCAGAGUGAUUUGGUUUUGCCAAUUUUGCAGGUGUGUGCCAUCUUCCUUAAGUACAAUCUGCUAUUCAUUUUUUGUCUGCUCAGUUAGGUAGAAGUCCUUGGAUUGUCGAUUCAGGUACCACUAAUCAUAUGACUCCACACAAACAUGUUUUUUACAAUAUUCAACCUUUGGCCUCUCCCUAUUUGAUAACAUUACUAAAUGGUUAUAAAGUGAAAGUCAUUUCUACUAGCUCUUUACAUCUUAGACAAGACAUAAUUUCACAUAAUGUAUUUUUAGUUCCAUCUUUUCAAUUCAAUCUUAUUUUUCUUCAUCAACUUCUUUCUCAGUUAAAAUGCAUUGCUAUAUUUACCAGUUUCUGCUGUUUCUUACAGGGCCCUUCUGUGAAGAGGCCAUUAGAAAUUGGUAAGGCAGCUCGCGGGCUCCUUUAUUCUUUCCAAUAUGCCUACACAUUCAGCUUUUGUUUCUGUUGUUCCUGUAGUUCCACCUGUUUCUCCUAUUUCUUCCAGUACUGUAUGUAGUUCUGAUUCUCCCACUUCCCUAAGUCCCUCUUGUAAUCCAUCUUGUGUUGCUAAUAAAAUGGAUUGGUUUUGGAAUUAGAGACUUCGUCACAUGCCUUAUGAUAAAAUGAAAUCUAUCCCUUGCUUAUCUCAUUUGAUUUCUCAUAAACAAUCUUUCAUUUUCUAAAAUUGUCCAAUGGCCAGACAACAAAGGUUGCCCUUCCCUGAAAGUCACAUUCAUUCAACUGCCCCAUUUCAGUUAGUGCACAUAGAUAUCUGGGGCCCUUAACAUACUAGAACAUAUUAUGGUUUUAGAUAUUUUAUCAUUGUAGUGGAUGACUUCACUAGGGAUACAUGGACACAUUUGCUUUCUUGCAAAAGCAAUGCCCUUCUUAUUAUAAAGGCAUUUACCUCUAUGGUCAAAGUUCACAUUAAUUCCUCUAUCCAAACUUUCAGAUCUGAUAAUGCUUUUGAACUAGGUGGCAGUUCUGAAGCUUCAGUUUUCUUCACUGAAAAUGGGAUAUUACAUCAAAUUACUGCUCCACACACACCACAACAAAAUGGAGUGGUAGAACGAAAACAUAAACACCUCCUAGAAACAACCAGAGCCUUGUUUUUUCAAUCCAAGCUUCAAACAAAAUAUUGGGGUGACUGUGUUUUGACAUCCACAUAUAUUAUCAACAGAUUGCCUUCCUCUGUCCUAAAUAACUCCUCCCCCUAUGAAAAAUUGCAUGGUGUUUCUCCCACAUAUGACCAUAUGAAAUCUUUUGGCUGCCUUUGCUUUGCCACCACUCCCAAAUCCGAGAGAGACAAAUUUCGGUCAAGAUCUAUUGCUUGUGUUUUCUUAGGUUAUCCUUGUGGUAAGAAAGGAUAUAGGCUUCUAAACCUCUCCAAUCAUUCUAUUUUCUUUUCUUGGGAUGUUGUAGUUUCAUGAACACAUCUUUCCCUAAUUCUCUUCCUUCACUCGUUGUACUUUUCCUCUUUUCUCUAUUGAUUUUAUCACUCCCCACCACCUGUUAUUUUCCCUUCUCCUCGAACAUCAACUUCUUCUUCUAUUUCCUCUCCACACUCUGCUCCUGUUCCUAUUUCCCCUGUCUCACCUUCUGCUCACCCUAGCCCUUCUCCAAAUACACCUUCACCUCCAUGUCUUUAUUCUCCUGUUUCUAGUACCCCUCCUCCUACUCCUUCCGUACCACCUAUUAGAAAGUCUACUAGAGUGUCUCACCAGCCUACUUGCUUACAAUAUUAUAUUUGCUCUUAUGCCUCUUUUCCUUCUAUUUCCGACAACUCCAAGGUUUCAACUAUUGGGCUACACUUGCAUGAACCCCAGUUUUAGCAACAAGAUACCUCACACCCUGCUUGGUAAGAAGCUAUGCUUAAGGAAUUUCAGGCUCUUGAAGCAAACAAUACUUGGGAUAUCGUUUCACUUCCCCCUCAUAAAAAACCUAUUCCUUGCAAAUGGGUUUACAAGAUUAAACAAAAGUGUGAUGGUUCUAUUGAGCGAUAUAAAGCUAGAUUAGUUAUUAGAGGGGAUACACAAAAAGAAGGGAUUGAUUACACCGAAACCUUUUCCCCAGUAGUCAAAUUCACUACUAUUAAAUGCCUUCUUUCCUUGGCUGCCAAGAAGAACUGGACUGUCUACCAAUUUGAUGUGAAUAAUGCUUUCCUUCAUGGUGAUCUCCAUGAAGAGGUCUACAUGAAAAUUCCUUUUGGUCUUCCGGUUUCUUCUCCUUCCUCUUCUUCUCCCUCUUCCUCUCCCCCUUGGUAUGCAAACUCAAGAAAUCAUUAUAUUGUCUCAAACAGGCUUCUAGACAAUAGUUUUCAAAAUUGUCUAAAGCUUUGUUAUCUCGAGGCUACUCAUCAAGUAAGAAUAACUAUUCCCUCUUUACCAAGUCUAGUGGUGGAUCUUUGACUGCCUUGGCAGUCUAUGUAGAUGCCAUUUUAUUGGCUGGGGAUGAUAUUUAUGAACUUGAUUAUUUAAAAUCUUUUCUGGAUGCUCGGUUCAAAAUUAAAGACCUUUGAUCCAUUCAUUAUUUCUUGGGUUUGGAGUUCAGUAAGAUGCCACAGGGGUAUUUGAUGACUCAAACCAAGUGCCAUUGAUUUGCUCGAAGAAUUUCACUGUCAGCACUUCAUACCUGUGGUGUUACCCCUCUUGACAGCUCAACCAAACUCACUGCCAAGGGGAGAGCCUACCUCUGACCCUAGUAUUUAUAGGAGGCUCGUGGGAAUUGAAUUUUUUGCAGCACACCAGACCAGAUAUAGCAUUUUCAAUCCAACACUUAAGCAAGUUUCUUCAGGCUCCACAGGUUCCUCAUAUGUUGGCUACGUUGCAUGUACUCAGGUAUUUGAUGAACGACACUCGUUUGGGCAUUCUCCUCUCCUCUUCCUUUGAUUUGUCCCUCUAGGCUUUCUUUGAUUAUGAAUGGGCUGCAUGUGCCCACUAUUUUAUUGUCUUCUGAUGAGGCAGAAUAUAGAGCCUUGAGAAAGAUUGUCGCUAAGAUUUCUUGGCUUGUUCAUUUAUUCGCUGACCUUGGUUUGGUGAUUUCUAGUCCUGUUCCGGUACUUUGUGACAGCCAAGCAACCCUUCAUAUUGCCAAGAAUCCCGUCUUUAAUGAGUGCAUAAAGCAUAUUGAUAUUGAUUGUCACUAUGUGCGGGAUUGUCUUCACUCUGGGCUGAUUUCUCUUCAGCAUGUUUCAUCCUCUGCUCAUCUUGCUGACAUCCUGAGCAAAUCCCUUCUAAGCCCUCUUCAUCAUUCUCUCUUUGUCAAGCUUGGAGUGUUCACACCCUCCAGCUUGAGGGGGACAUUAUCCAUAUCAUGGAUCAGUCAUGUAGGCCUAAAGGGCAUAGGCCCAGUAGGAUAUUCUCUUUUAUAAAUUCUGUAGCUAUGGCCUAUGUAGUUGUAAGACUAAUGUAUAAGCGAGUCCAAAAUGUAUGAUACCGGGCCCAACAAUAAGAAAGCGGACAUUCUAGAUAGAGAUACAAUUUUCAUUUUUAGGUUUUGUUCGAUUCAAUUUCACAAGAUUCGGAUGUACGAACUUAACAAGAAUUCUAUUUAAAGUGAAUGCCUAUCUUAUACAGAGUUUUACUUUGUGGCUAAGUCAUUUUUCCCUUAUAAAUAGAGGAAUUUUACCUCAUUGUAAAUCAUCCCAAAAUUCGAUAAAAAUUUCCCAUUACUCUCUUUCUCUGCAAUACUAUUUUUCUUCUUUUAUUAUUUUAUUACAAUAGUAAGAUUUUACUAUAUAAAAUAUCCUUUCUUAUUUAAUGUAUGUUAACAAAAUAUAUGUACUAUGUCAAAUAAGAUGUUUAUUCAUAGAAGUUUUGUCCGUCGCGGCACAAGCUGUCUUAGACGGAAACCAUGGGACAUUCAUGUUUAAUUUAGACUUUAGUUAACUUCAACGUAGGGGCGGUGCUAUCGUAUGAGUUUGUUUAUUAGAUAUGUAUAACUAUUUAAUCGUGAACCCAAUAUAAUUAUACGAGCUAUGAAUUUAAUGACUAAUUUAAAACCCAUAAACUUUAUAUGCUGGUUCAGUCUCUUAUUUAGUGACUUCAUUAUUUCUUUAAGAGUCAAUUUUUUUGGAAAGAGUUUUGUCUCGGAUUCUUUUUACAUAGCCUUACAAAUAGUUUGAUAUUUUUGUUUGCUUAUUAGUAAAUUUAUUUUUGUUUUUAAUCUCUUUUUAUUUUUUUGGUAUUGUCUAAUCCUUGUGCUUUCAUCCUUCCAAUUUUAGGUUGCAGAAUCUGAAUCUUAUAAACUUUUUGAACCUUGAAGCUCACACAACAAAGCAUAUUGAGGUAAAUUAUUAUUUUCUUAUGUUCAGCGAUCAUGGGUCUAAUAUUUAUUUAUAUAAAUUGUUUACUUAUUAUAAUAAUGUGAAAUAUUUAUAACUCCUUAAUUAAUUUAAUUCCUGCGAAAAAUCGAAUAUUUAAUUCAAUCUACUAUUUAUGAAGAUUUAAUAAUCUGAAUUGAUAUUCUUACAAAAAGAUUUUCAAAUAACAAAUUAGUAAAUUAAAAUAUAUAUUUUUAGUUGGUUAAUUUUUUUUUUUCUUUCAUAAAGUUGGAUAAAAGCUGACAACUGCGUUGCUGAAUCUUCAAACUGGUCAGAAAUAAAAUAGGAAAAAAUGAGAGAGAAGAGUAAGCGAACACUGAAACUGAAAGUACUGAAUUACUUUUCAAGCAGUAAAGAGCAUUUGAAGAAGAUCAAGUCUGAUUGCCUCCAUAUUAAUUAUCUCUCCUCUUCUAACACACUUUCUUUUCUGUAUGCAUAUAUUCAAGUUUUCUAUCUCUUUUAAGUUGUGAUUAUUUAUUGAUUAUGUUGUCAAUUAAUGUUACGAUUCGGAUUUUCCACCAUUAAGAAUUGUGAUAGCGCAUACUCAUGGAAGCUAGGCAUUAACUAUUUAAACUAACAUGUGAUCAAUAGUGAGGCAUUAACAAUAAAUAAAAAAAGAACGAGCGGAAGACUUAAUCUAAUAAGUUAAAUCAAAACCAGUACGACUGUACCAACAUACAUCUCUACCAUGAUUUCAGUGUCACAAUAUCACGGACUGUCUAUGAAUAUUACAUACAAAUGUCUGAAAGAAAAGUAUUGUCUGUCUCAGAAGUAGAUGAAAACAGAAACAUAAAAUGAUAGAAGAGAACAUGGGGCCUGCGGAUAUCUGCAGGACUACCUCAGGAUCUCUAACUGGACUUAAGGCUGCCACCCAAAGCUAUGUUCCAAAAACUAUCGCUCCAAGAUCUGCACAUAGUGCAGAGUGUAGUAUCAGCACAACCAACUCCAUAUGCUGGUAAGUGGCUGGCCUAACCCCGGCGAAGUAGUGAUGAGGCUAGGACCAUACAGCCAAAUAAAUCUAUGCAGUUAUAUAUAUACUACGUAGCGGAGAUUAAACAGAAAUAAACAAGUAAAGACAUGGGGAGGGAUACAUGCUGCUGGAAGAUAUCGAUACCAACGGUAAUUUAAGAGGAAGGCACAAGGAAAACAUAGAAUUUAUUACCAAAACAAUAAGGAGAUCACAACCAAUAUGUAAACACUUUUUAUUAUCAACUGUUGGGCGCGCAACCUGAUCCCAAAACGUAAUAUUACUGUUGCAGCGUGCAACCCAUUCCAUAUCAUUUAUCACUGUUAUGGUGUGCAACCGACCCAAUUAUAUAGUUAUUUCGGCGUGCAAUCCAAUCCAUUUAUAUCAUUGUUGCGGCAUGCAAUCCGACCCAAAUAUAAUAUUAUUGCGGCGCGGAACCCGAUCUACAUAAGGAGACAACACUAUCUCGGCAAGGGAAUCAACAAUAUAAGUAAGUAUGUCCCAGCAAGGAGAAAUCGACUAUAACUAAACUUGUUCCAACAUCUAACUACCUCCAUUAGAACCAAUACUCAAUCAUAAGUAAACUCCACGGGAAUAAUCUUAGACCUUGCUCAACACAGAGAAUCAAUAACUUAAGAAUUUUUAGUAUUUCUCAGAACACAAUAAUUUUAAUUUAUGACUCACGGUCAUGCUCGACAUCGACGUAUAGAUACGCGUCAUCAUGCCUAUACGUCGUACUCGACAAGUAACACAUAGCAAAUAUGACAUAACUCCUAAUCCCUCAAGCUAAGGUUAGACCAAACACUUACCUCAAACUUCCACGGCUAACUCAAGCCUCAAACACCGCUUUUCCUUUAGAAUCCGCAUCUGAAUUACUUGUAUCUAAUUCAUAUUAGUAUAACAACAUCAAUAAAUGCUAAAUAAUCCAAUCCCAAGGCUAAAUUAUAGGUUUUCCAUUAUCUUCUCCAAAAAGUCAAAAAUCGACCCCGGGCCCGCUUGGUCGAAACUCAAGGUUCGGAUCAAAGCCCGUUCACCCAUUCACCCGCGAGCCCUGAUAUGAAAUAAGUUUCGAAAUCCGACCCCAGAACGGGGUCUAAAUCCCAAUUAAUCAAAAAAGCCCUAACUCUACCAAAACCCCUAAUUUUCUACCCUUAAGAACAUAAUUUAGGCCUAGAAAUCUAAUGGGUGUUAAUAAAAAUUAAAAAAAAAAACAAAUUUAAGAAUACAUACCUAUGAUUUUGUGGUGCAAUCUCUCUUCAAAUAUUGCCCAAGUUCGAGUUUAAGUGAAAGAGUUAUGAAAAUUUUGAAGAAUCCCAUUUAUGCUUCUGUUUUAAAAUCACUGCACUGACCUUCAUCGCGUCCCCGAUGGGUUUGUCGCCUUCGCGAUAGGUCAGGCCAAUUAGCCAUCGCGUUCGCGUUUAUCGAAUCGCAUUCGCGGAGCUUUAACGCCUCGAGUCUUCACGUUCGCGGGCUAGUGGCUCGCGUUCGCAUAGAAAGAGAUUUCUUAAGCCUGACUAGCCAUUCACGUUCGCGAGAGUCCUUCCACGAACGCAAAGAACAUACCAGAACAGUAGAAACUGAAAAACCUGCAACUUUCAUGAGUUCAAAAACCUUCCGAGACCUACCCGAAACUCACCCGAGCCCUCGGGGUUCUAAACCAAACAUGCAUACUAACUCAAAAAUAUUAUAUGAACUGAUUCGUGGGAUCAAAUCGCCAAGAUAACCUCUGAAACAAUGAAUUUAGCAUAGAAAUCUAAAAAAAAUCUCAAAACUUUCAAAGUAGGAAUUUUCACAACUACGGGUCCGAAUCACCUCAAACGACUUAUGUUUCUUACCAAAUUUUGCAGAAUCACCUGAUUUCAUAUAUAAGACCUAUACCGGGCUCCAAAAUUAGAAUACGGGCUUGAUACCAUCAACUUCUAAAUGCAUUUCAUUUCCAAAACUUAUAGAAAUUUUCAUAAUAUAAUUUUCUUUAAAAAUAUAUUUCUCGGGCUUGGGACCUCGGAAUUGGAUUCCGGGCAUACGCUCAAGUCCUAUAUUUUUUACGGACCCUUUGGAACGAUCAAAUUACAGGUCUGGAUCCAUUUACCCAAAAUAUUGACCGAAGUCAACUUAAAUCCAUUUUUAAGUUAAAAUUUCAACAUUUUUCAUAAAUUUUCACAUAAAAACUUUCCAGUUCGGACUUCGUACGCAUUGUUUCUUACCAAAUUUUACAGACUCAUCUUAUCUCACAUAUAAGACCUGUACCGGGCACCGGAACCAGAAUAUAUGCCCGAUAAUAUCAAAUUCUAAAUGCAUUUUGUUUCCAAAACUCAUAAAAAUUUUCAGAAACUAAUUUUCUUAAAAAAUUCAUUUCUCGGGCUUUGGACCUCGGGAUUCGAUUCCGGUAUACGCCCAAGUCUCAUGUUUUCCACGGACCCUCCGGGAUUGCCAAAUCACGGGCUCGGGUCCGUUUACCCUAAAUGUUGAUUGAAGUCAACUUAAAUGCAUUUUAAGUCAAAACUUUUAUCAUUUUUCACAGAUUUUCACAAAAUGGCUUUCUAGCUAUGCGCCCAGACUACAUAUGCAAAUCGAGGUGAUGCCGAAAGAGGUUUCAAGGCCUCGGAACGUAGAAUUUAUUUCUAAAACAAGUGAUGACCUUUUGGGUCAUCACAUUCUCUACCUCUCAAACAACCGUUCGUCCUUUAACAGACAUAAGAAAGAAGUACCUGAGUCGGGGAAAAGAUGGGGAUAACGGCUCUGCAUGUCAGACUCAGACUUCUAGGUCGUUGCCUUAGCAGGCUGACCUCUCUUUUAUACACGAACAGAAGGAAAACUCUUCGAUCUCAACUGAUAAACCUGCCAGUCUAGAAUAGCUACUGGCUCCUCCUCAUAAGACAAGUCCUUGUCCAACUGGAUAGUGCUGAAAUACAACACAUGGGAUGGAUCGCCGUGAUAAUUCCGAAGCAUGGACACAUGAAACACUAGAUGCACAGCUGAUCACUUCAGCAGGAUUACAAGUUUAUAAGCCACCUAUCCCACUCGAUCAAGAAUCUCAAACGGGUCAAUGAACCUAGGGCCAAGCUUGCCCUUCUUUUGAAACCUCGUCCCGCCUUUCAUAGGUGACACUAGAAGCAAUACCCGUUCACCAAUCAUGAAAACCAAAUCACGAACCUUACGGUCGGCAUAACUCUUUUGCCUGGACUGAGCUGUACGAAGCCUAUCUUGAAUAAUCCUGACAUUGUCCAGCGCAUCCUGUACUAGAUCUGUACCCAACAAUCGAGCCUCUCCCGGCUCAAACCAUCCAACCGGCGACCGAAACCGCCUACCAUACAACUAUUCAUAAGGAGCCAUCUGAAUACUAGACUAGUAGAAUGUGAGGUAAACUGCGUACCUCGAUCCGAAAUGAUAAACACAGGUACACCAUGAAGACGAACAAUCUAUCGGAUGUAGAUCUUAGCUGAUCUCUCGAAAGAAUAGGAGACUGCUACAUGAAUGAAAUAUGCUGACUUGGUCAGCCUAUCAACAAUAACCCACACUGCAUCAAACUUUUUUUGAGUGUGUGGGAGUCCAACAACAAAGUGUAUAGUGAUAUGCUCCCACUUUCACUUAGGAAUCUCAAUCUUCUGGAACAACCCACCAGGCCUCUGAUGCUCGUACUUAACAUGCUGACAAUAUAAACACCGAGCCACAUAUGCAAGGAUAUCCUUCUUCAUUAUCCUCCACCAAUAAUGUCGCCGUAAAUCUUGUUACAUCUUUGCGGUGCCCAGAUGAAUAAAGUACCGGGAGCUUUGGGCCUCCUCUAGAAUCAACUCUCGGAGUCCAUCCACAUUAGGUGCACAUACUCGACCAUGCGAUCUCAAAACUCCACCAUCACCUAAGGUAACCUGCUUGGCACCUCCAUGCUGCACCGUGUCUCCAAGGAUUCACAAAUAGGGAUCAAUAUACUGCCGAUCUCGGAUACGCUCCAAUAAAGAAAAACAUGCGACUAUGCAAGCUACUACACGGUUGGGCUCGGAAACAUCCAACCUCACGAACUAAUUGGCCAAAGCUCGAACAUCCAGAGCAAGCGACCUCUCAUCGACCGGAGUAUAAGCAAGACUGCCCAUAUUGGCUGACUUCCUACUCAAAGCAUCAGCCACCACAUUGGCUUUCCCUAGAUGAUAUAGGAUAGUGAUAUCAUAGUCCUUUAUUAGAUCCAACCACCUUCUCUGCCUCAAUUUCAACUCCUUCUGCUUGAACAAAUACUGUAGACUCUUGUGAUCCGUGAACACCUCACAUGCUACACCAUAAAGAUAAUGCCUCCAAAUCUUCAACGCGUGAACAGUGGAUGCUAACUCCAAAUCAUGAAUCAGAUAGUUCUUCUCAUGAAUCUUCAACUGCCGCGAAGCAUAGGCAAUGACCUUGCCAUCCUACAUCAACACUGCACCAAGUCCAACACGAGAUGCGUCACAAUAAACUGUAUAGGGCUUUAAGCCUGUGGGCAAAACCAACACCGAUGCCAUAGUUAGAGUUGUCUUGAGCUUUUGGAAGCUCACCUCACACUCGUCUGACCACCUGAACUGAGUACCCUUCUAGGUCAAUCAUGUCAUUGGGAUUGCGAUAGAUGAAAACCCUUUCACAAACCGACGAUAGUAGCCUGCCAAUCCUAAGAAACUCCGAAUCUCUGUAGCUGAUGUUGGUCUAGGCUAGUUCUUGACCACCUCAGUCUUCAUCGGAUCAACCUAAAUACCCUUUACUGAUACAACAUGACCCAGGAAUGCAAUUGAAAUCAACCAGAACUCACACUUCGAAAACUUGGCAUACAACUGACUAUCCCUCGGACUCUGAAGAACCACUCUAAGAUGCUGCUCGUGCUCCUCCCGGCUGCGGGAAUAUAUCAAAAUAUCAUCAAUGAAGACUAUUGCGAAUAAAUUCAAGUAAGGCCUGGCACUCGGUUCAUAAAAUCCAUCAAAGCCGUUGGGGCAUUGUCAACCCGAAUGACAUCACCAAGAACUCAUAAUGCUCGUACCGAGUGCAAAAAGCUACCUUAUGGACAUCGGAUGCCCUAAUCCUCAACUGAUGGUCACCAGAUCUUAAGUCAUUCUUUGAAAAUACCUUGGAACCCUAAAGCUGAUCAAACACAUCCUCAAUCCUUGGCAACAAAUACUUAUUCUUGACCGUAACCUUGUUCAAUUGCCGGUAAUCUAUUCACAUUUGCAUUGAUCCAUCCUUCUUAAAAAAACAACACAAGCACACCUCAAGGAAUAAAACUGGGUCUAAUGAAACCUUUUUCAAGCAAGUCUUGCAACUGCUCCUUCAACUCUUUCAACUCAAGCGGGGCCAUACAAUACAACGGGAUAGAAAUAGGUUGAGUAAUCAAUACAGAAGUCAAUAUCCCUAUCGAGUCCGGUAGGUCUGAAGGAAAUAGCUCAAGGAACUCAUGAACAACAGGCACAUCAUAAAUAGAAGAAACCUCGACCCUAGAAUCAUGAACAUAUGCCAAAUAGGCCAAACACCCCUUCUCGACCAUGCACCGAGCCUUCACAUAAGAGAUAACACCACUAGUAGAAUGGUCAGGAGUCCCUCUCCACUGUAAACGAGGUAAACCCUACAAGGGUAAGGCCACAAUCUUAGCAUGAUAGUCCAAGAAAGCGUGGUAAGGUGAUAACCAGUGUAUCCCCAAGAUGAAAUCAAAAUCAACCAUGUCUAGAAGCAACAAAUCUACAUGAGUCUCAAGAUCUCAAAUCACAACUAUACAAGAGCGAUGGACUCGAUCUACCAUAAUAAAAUCACCCACCGGUGUAGACAUAUAUACAGGAGCACUCAAGGAAUUACCAGAUACGAUGCAAAAUAAGAUGAUACAUAGGAGUAGGUAGACCCUGGAUCAAAUAAAAUUGAAGCAUCCAUGCCACAAACCAGAAUAGUACUUGUGAUAACAUCAUUGAAAGUCUGAGCCUCUGGCUGGAAGAGCAUAAUAUCGGGGUUGGGUCCCACCACCCUGGACUACACGCCAGGACGCCCUGCAUCUGGCUGGCCUUCACCUCUAGCGGUCUGAGCUCUACCUCUAGCACCUCUACCCCCACCCCUAGCUGGCAUGGCGGGUAGUGGAACACUUGGUGCCUGAACCAUAGCACGGGAACCCUGCUGCUGUGACUGAGUACCCACUAAUCUCAAAUAAGUCCUCCGAAUAUGAUCAUACUUUCCACACUCAAAGCAUCCACAUAAGCGCUGCGGAUGAGAGAACUGAGACUGACCCUAACGACCUGAAUGACCACUCGAAAACUCUGGAGCAAAGGUGCACUGAUAGGAGCUGGUGGUGCACUGUAGGGCUGCUUAUCAGAAUAGCACAUAUGAGAACCACAGCCACCUGAAGCACCGUGAGAAACCUGAAGUGGUGACUGAAAGGGCCUAGGAUGAUGGCCUCUACCAUAUAAAUCCCUGCCUCCAGAUGAGGUACCACUGAAUCUUCCUGAAUGACGAGGCCUUUUGUGAGACCCCUGACCACCUCCAUGUGACAAAACUAUCUUGAUCCUCCUGGCCACAUUAGCUACCUCCUGGAAAAAAAAAUCUCACUCCCCGUCUCCUUAGCCAUCUAAAUUCGAAUAGGCUGGAUAAGUCCCUGAAUGAACCUCCUCUCUCUCUCUGGGAAGUAAUAAGUAGAGCAUGACGAGCCAAAUUAAUGAACCUGGUCUCAUACUGGGUAACAGUCAUAGAACCCUGUUGGAGACACUCAAACCGCCUCCGAUUGAUCUCCCUUUGAGUAAUGGGAAUAAACUUCUCCAAGAAUAGCUGAGUAAACUGCUCCCAAGUCAAAGAUGGAGAUCCGGCUAGUCUAGCCAAGCAAUAAUCUCUCCACCAAGUCUUAGUGGAUUAAGAUAAGCGUAAAGUAGGAAAGUUGACUCCAUUGGUCUCCACUAUCCCCAUUUUCCUGAGAACCUCGUGACAACUGUCUAGAUAAUCCUGAGUAUCCUCAGAAGAUGCACCACUGUAAGUGGCAGUGAAGAGCUUGGUGAACAUGUCCAACUUUACAAAGCAUCAGCAGACAUAGCUGCCCUAUCGCCGGUUUGAGCUACUAUACCCGGCUAGACUGCUCCAACUGGAUGAGCUACUAGAGUCUAAGACUGGGGAGCCAUCUGCUCCGGAGUGCGAGUAGCAGGAGUAUGGGCUCCUACUCCAGCCUGAGAGACGGCUGGUGCUACAGGAAGCAAGCCUGCCCGGGUGACACUCUCCAUAAGCUCACUAGACGAACUAGAGCAUCCUGGAGUAUUAGGAUAGCAAUAAACUCCUCGAGGACCUGAGCUGGGCUUAGCGAAAGUGUCUGGGCCGGGACCUCAUCAUCAAAGUCAACUUGAGGCUCCGCUGUUGGUGCUGCUACUCUGUACUUAGCUCUUCCCCUACCUCGACCUCUAGCAUGGCCUCAACCUUGCCCUAUGCCUUUCACGGGAGCUAGUGCUAGGAGCUCGGGCUUCUGAUCAGCGUUCUCGACAUCUUCGAAAGAACAACGUAUUAAUUCAAUUAGCAUUGAGAAAUCAAACCGCACGACCAUAAAUUUUUUCCUAAAGAAAUCAAACCGCACGACCAUAAAUUUUUUCCUAACUCUGUAGCCUCUGGGGGAUAAAUAUAGAUUGUGAGCAUGUGAUUUUUUCCCUAAAUGAAUUAUUCCUAUAAAUUCAAACAAAAUUAUUUCUUUUACUUGUUUGCAAUUUUAUGGAUUUUUAUGGUAUUUUCCGUUAGUUGUUUGAAUUUGUCUGCGCAUUUUAAUUAGUAAAAAAUACAAAAAAUAUGUCGCAUCUGCAUUUAAAAGUAGAUAUGACAUUUUUCAAGCAUUAGUUAGCAAUUGGUUAUUUUAUAAACAGAAAAAUAAAAAAUGGUUCAAUUUGCUCUUUCAGUUUUAAUUUAUGAAUUUUUAGGUAAUUUUUCUUUUAAUUUUGUUUAAAUAAUGAUUAUAUAAGAUUGGUUAGCAUUUGUUUGUUUGGGAUUUAUAACUUAACUUAGGAUUUAUAAUACUUUUGGAAAAUGAAAAGAAAAAGUGAAAAGAAAUCUGAAAAUUUAAUUAUAAAGAGAAGACCUAAUUGGUCCAUUUUAGAUUAAAACCCAGCCCAAAGAACCCACCCAAACCUGGUCCAGAACCAGUCCAACCUGGUCCAGUCCUCGCCCCAACCAAAAUGACGUCGUUUAGGUUGCGUUUGAUCUUGGUCGUCAAUGUUUCUUAAUCUGACGGUCGAGAAGCUGGGAUGUAUUAGUAUAUAUAUGUCCAAACGACCCCCACACCCCCCAAAACACCCCAUCCCUAAAACUUCUCUCAUUAGAAUCCCUAACACCGGUGUCUCUCCACUGCAAACCGCCGGCCAAAAUCGCCUCCGCCGGCAGCGAUCACCUAAAGGCCACCAAAUUUACACCACUUGACCAGCUUCCCCUCCUCUAUCCAAAUCCAUGCCUGGUUUCCCUCGAAUCACCUCUAUUGUCACGAAAUGUAGCCGGAAGAUUUGACUCCGCCGCCGUACACGGCAGCACCGCUUCUUUUCGACCUCAUACACCGUUGAACCCUCUUCUCUCCCUCAUGCCAAAUCCACACUCAACACCUUCAAACACCCGUAGAUCUUCUCGAAUGUUAAUUCAAAAGGGGCAGCCAAACCUCACUACCCCUAGAAUCGUCCAAAACCCACACCCUAUAACCCUUACCACCCCAUCUCUACUGGUUCGUGGUUAUUUGUUAUCAAAAAGCCCAAAGCUAGUCGAAUUCUAGGGUUCGAGACUCAGAUCUUGCUGUAUGCCUUUGAUAAGCUAAGUUUUCUGUUUAUUUUCUAAUCUCUCUUUUCUUCAUCUCAUUUCUAUCGAUUUGGUUAAUUCCAGGUUCAGAUUAGGUUUAUUUUGAUCUAAUUAAAUUGCAUUAGUCGUUUUAGUUUGAUUGUUUUGAAGGUCAUGAGUUCUAUUAUGUUUAGUCUUCAUGAUUUCAGUCAAGUUAUUGAGUAUUGUUUGAAUUCCAUUUCUUUUAAUUCCCGAGUUUAGUUGAGUUGUAAUAGGUCUUUUGUUGAGUUUUAUUUCAUGAUUAAGUUUCGGAGUUUGAAUUAGGUUUCGUGCAUAAUAGUCAAGUGGUGUCACUCUUAUUUGGAUAAUACCCGAGUUGAACAAUCAAUUUAUGUUAAUUGAAUUUUAUUCGUUCAAUCAGUUCGAAUUGUAUUGAUCUCUUCGGUUGAAUGACUUCUACGUGUGAUUCUUGGGUUUAAAAUUAGGUUUAGUAAUUUAUUGUUAGGUUUGUUAAUUAUCCAUUAGGUAAUCCCACAGUUUUGAUUUUCUGCAUGGUUUUAAGAAAUGCCAUAUUUGAUCCGUUUGGAAUUAAGGGUAGUUUGGGUAUUUGACUAAGGGCAAAUAAAAUAGGAAGCCUCUAGUAGGGGCUUCCUGUUAAUUUGAUGUAAAAAUUUGGUCCACAUAUCAAGAAAUGGGGGACUCAAUUGCAAUUUUAAAAACAAAGGGUUGCCCUACUUGCCUUGUAUAUAAAGGCAUCCUUCUUGCCUUAGAAGGCGGGGAUUUUCCGUGAUAAAAAGCUCAUAAAAACUCAUGGCUAAAAAAAAAGUUAGGUUACAAACACAGUUCCAUUAAACCUCUGUUCUUUGAUUUCACAAGCAAUUUCUGAUUUCUUUUGAGCUGGGAAAAUGAUUUGAUCUAGGGUAUAGGUAGAAUUGAUUUGGUUUCAUUUAUUGGGGCAUUGUUUUAUCAAGUGUUUUGGUUGAAUUUCAUUAUUUAAAAGCUGGUUGGCUGAAAUUUGGACUAACUGUUGUUUCUCGCUGCUGAUCCCUUCAUUUUCUAUUAUUUUCACUUUCCAGGUACACCUCUCUUGACUUCUACACAAUGUAAGGCCUGACUUGAAGUUGAAAUAAGAAUCUGAAGGUUGAGCAUAGUUAUAGCUUGUUUUGAUAAACAGUUUAGUUUUACAUUGUUUUGCUGAUUUGUUAUGAGUUCUAUAACAUACUAUAUUUUGUUGAUAAAUACUCUGCUGAGAAUUGAAUUUUUGUAAUUAAGGGGGACUCAAUUUCCAACUGAAUAUUUCAUAGCUGAUUAGAUGUUGAAAUGGGUUGUUAGUCGAAUUUAUAGCUAACUUUGUACAUUCGACCAUGCUAAAUGGUAUCAUAUGGACUGACUGUGUUCUCACCUUGUAUUCCUGUUAAAUUACUAUCAGUUAAAAUUAGGUGUCUAAAAUUUUGUUGCAUAAUGUUAGCUUCUCUAUAGGAUUCAUGAGUCAUGAUUGGGGCUCAAGCUCUCAGGUUUUAGAACUAACUUGGUGUGAGCUUUUUUUUAUGCGG